rnacentral:rRNA from 1 species
GGCCGCGGGAAUUCGAUUAGAGUUUGAUCCUGGCUCAGGAUGAACGCUGGCGGUCUGCUUAACACAUGCAAGUCGAACGCAACCUUCGGGUUGAGUGGCGGACGGGUGAGUAACGCGUGAGAAUCUGCCUUGGGGUCGGGGACAACCACUGGAAACGGUGGCUAAUACCGGAUAAGCCUUCGGGUAAAAGAUUUAUUGCCCCAAGAGGAGCUCGCGUCUGAUUAGCUAGUUGGUAGGGUAAAAGCCUACCAAGGCAGCGAUCAGUAGCUGGUCUGAGAGGACGAUCAGCCACACUGGGACUGAGACACGGCCCAGACUCCUACGGGAGGCAGCAGUGGGGAAUUUUCCGCAAUGGGCGAAAGCCUGACGGAGCAAGACCGCGUGAGGGAGGAAGGCUCUUGGGUUGUAAACCUCUUUUCUCAGGGAAGAAGCUCUGACGGUACCUGAGGAAUCAGCCUCGGCUAACUCCGUGCCAGCAGCCGCGGUAAUACGGAGGAGGCAAGCGUUAUCCGGAAUUAUUGGGCGUAAAGCGUCCGCAGGUGGCGAUUCAAGUCUGCUGUCAAAGCACGGGGCUUAACUCCGUUAAGGCAGUGGAAACUGAAUAGCUAGAGUGCCGUAGGGGUAGAGGGAAUUCCCGGUGUAGCGGUGAAAUGCGUAGAGAUCGGGAAGAACAUCGGUGGCGAAAGCGCUCUACUGGACGGCAACUGACACUCAGGGACGAAAGCUAGGGGAGCGAAUGGGAUUAGAUAUCCCAGUCAUCGACGUGUAAAACGAUG